AUUAAUGCCAUCCAUUUUGGAUUUCUAUUUGCCAUAUUAUUUUAUUGUUAUUUAUUUUAUUAUUAUUGUUAGCUGCAUGUGUGACAUAACUCCACCAGUCCUAUUUAUGAUAUCAUUCACAAAAAUUAUACAUUUUUUAAAUCAAUUAGUAUAUUUGAGUUUAACCACAAUAUUUGUUGUAUUAUUUGUUCUGUCUUUUUAGGUAGAUUAAAUUGAAAUUGCAACCAACUUUCUAAGGCUUGUUUAAAAAAUAACAAUAUUUUGGAGAUUAUUUCCUUUUCAAACAACCAAAAGUGAGCUGGUGUAAUCUGAAUAAAGGGAAAAAGGCCAUUCAGGUGUAGGUGUAGGCAAAACCAUAUGCAAAUAGGUAAACUGUGAUAUGACUAAAGAGUUAAUCAGGUUAUUUUUCCACAAACAGACAAGAUCUUGCUUCCAUGGAAAGGAAAAUACCUAUCUAUUUUUGCUAACUUUCUAUAAAAAUUUAUUGAAGAUAAUUUCUUUCUUUUGGGAUUUGUAUACUGUCAGAUCAUUUGUCUACAUCUCUGUCAGACCAUUUAAUUGGUAAACUACACGGUAAUGUAAAAUUUGCAUUUUUUUGUGAUCGAAUAUGUAAUAUAGUACACUUAUCAUAAUUCGGUUGUAAUCCAGAGAAGAUAGCGAAAGUAUCUAGAUCCUCUAUGAGGCCAUGGAGAGAAUCUAAUUCUGGUUUUAAAAGAAAACAUGAAUUAUCAGCGUACAUUGACACCUUAGUUUUUAAGCCACGGAUUUCUAAUCCCUUAAAAACCAGGUCUGGUGUCCCCGAUCUAUUGUUUCCAGUACUUGUCUUAUAUUAUCUCCAAUGUAUCGUCCAUGUAAAAAACCUGUCUGAUUAGGAUGAAUAAUAUCUGACAAUACUUUCUAAAUUCUAUGCGCCAAGCAUUUUGCAUAAGAGGUGUAAGAGGUCUCAAUUUUUUUUAUGGACUGGAUCUUUAUAUAUACCACUUGGAUCCUGUUUCAGUAAUAAUGACAUCAGGCCUUGUUGCGUGUCUGAUAAUCUACCAUUUAUAUAGGAGUGGUUAAAACAAGCUAAUAAUGGUCCUCUGAGUAUAUCAAAAAAGGUUUUAGAUACUUCCACUGGUAUGCCAUCCAGCCCUGGAGUUUUCCCAGCCUUAAAGGCUUUAAUUGCAUAAAGAAGUUCCUCCUCUGUAAUUUGGCCUUCACAUGAGUCUUUCUGUACAGAUGUAAAUUGUACAUUAUUAUUAGGGAAAAAAUCCAUACAAUUAGCUUCCGUUAGUGGAGAUGGAGGAGACUGAAACGAAAACAUAUUCUUAAAAUACUUUACUUCCUCUUUCAAAAUAUAAUUUGGUGAAUCAUGCAUGACUCCAUCAUUCGUAACAAGUUUCAAUAAAAAUAUGUUGGUUGCAUUUCUAUAUUGAAGAUUGAAAAAGAAUUGUGCAUUUUUCCCCAUAUUCCAUCCAGUUAGCUUUAUUUUUUAUAAUUUAUAACUCUUGAAUAAGUUCCUCCUUUACUUUUUGUUUUUCCUCCAACUUAUUCUGUGCCUCUAUGGUACAGUUUUUAUUGCUAUCUAACUGUACUGUUAGUCCUUCAAUUUCCUUUGUUAAUAUGGACUCUUUUGUUCUAAAUUGCUUUUGUUUUAUAGAUGAGUAGUGAAUUGCAUGGCCUCUAAAGGCGCAUUUAAAAGUGUCCCAUACAAUAGGGAGAUCUGAUGUACCUAUGUUAUGUCUGAAAAAGUCAGUUAUAAAUUCUUCUGUCCUAGUUCUAAACAAUUUAUCAUCUAGUAGGCUUUGAUUAAAUUUCCAAUAUCCUCGCCCACGUGGAAAUUCCGUAAGAGUAAUAUAUAUGCCAAUUAUGUGAUGAUCCGACUGCAUUCUGUCCCCUAUCAACACUUUUUAAACUUUUGGUGCCAGAGAGAAUGGUAUAAGAAAGUAGUCAAGACGACUAGCUUGAUUAAGCCUCCGCCAUGUAUAUCUCACUAGGUCAGGGUAUUUAAGUCUCCAUAUAUCCACUAAUUCCAAAAUAUCCAUGACAUUCAUGAUUUCCUUAAGUGCCUGAGGGUGAUGGUUUGUAGUGUGAUUUACUUUCCGGUCCAUAGAGGUAUUUAAGACCGUAUUAAAAUCUCCCACCAUAAUAAUAAAGUCUAAUGUUGCUUGUAGAGUUGAUAAAUUCUUAUAUAUUUUCAAAGAAGCUUGGAUCAUCAUCAUUAUUUGGACCGUAUAGGUUAAUAAGCCAUAUCUGUUUAUUGUCCAAUAACAUAUUUAAAAUAAUCCAUCUACCUUUAUUAUCUGUUUGGACAAUUUGCACAUUUGGAUCAAAAUUACUGUUAACUCAACCCUUUCCCCCACACAAUCAUAGGCUCACAUUCUCAACAGUUGCACCAUCCCAGAGCCCAACUCAAGAAAGGUCUUGAUUUAUGAAUGCAUAUACAGUUGCAGCUGUAUGAGAAGGCCUGCAAGACUGUGCAAAAAAAUGGGAAGAAAUUGAGAGAUUUUAUUAACCAUUGCCACAUCCUAGAUGGAGGUCAAAUGUACACUUUUUCCCUGAAACACCCACAACACGGUCCCCCAUAUUGACCAUAUUCCCAAGCAUCUCCAUGCAGUCAGACUUUUGAUUUUGUGCCACCAGGGCCACAAUAAUAUACCCCCUCUCUGAAUGUCAGUGUGACCCCCUCCCCAUGGGUUACUGCAGCUAGUGUUGCCAGCACUGCCACUGCCUGGGUGGGGGCACCCCACCGGAAUCCCCACCGGCUAGAUACAAGGUCAUCAAGGUUCUCAUUAGCAACUUUGAGAAUUUCUUUGUAUAGUAUGCUCUCCCUUUAGGGGGCUUUGGCUUUGCAGGACCAACCCUGCCAAGCAGGCUCCGAAUCUUGAGGGGGCAGUGCUGCUCUAGGUCUCUGACCGCAUUUUGGCUGCAUACAGACAACUUACAGCAGGCCCAAAAAACAGUUAGAGACUUCUCCUUAGUAUCUGGGUCAUUCAGGUGGGUGUCUAGCGUAUAGGGUUGUGGACCGUUCCAUCAAUAUAGGAUCAUAAAUAAAUAAGAUAUAUAAUUUAUUUAAAAUGUUUAAUUCCUUAUGAUAGGACAAUAAAUAAAUGAAAUGUAUAAUUUAUUUUAAAACACUGUUCCACCAUGAUAGGACAAUAAAUCAGACAUAUAAUUAAUUAUAAAAAGUAUAUCCAUCAUCUGAACAACAUUGAAAGCUCUCUCACACCCCCACUCACAGCAAUACAUUGGUUCUGAGAUAUGCAACCAUUUCCUUUCUCACUCAACAUAAUUCACUUUCCCAUACAUAAAAAAACACACCACACCAUCCACACAUACUGUGCCUUCUGUUUGAGUUUUUAUCUUCACCAUGUUGAAUUAGUGCUUUUGUGUUCCAAUUAGUUAUUUGAAGAUAUAUAGAAAAUAUAUUUUUUAUUGUAUUAUUACAAUCCAUAACCAGGCUAGAAUUGUGUUUCAUUAUUUUCCUCGUCUAUAAGAACUUUGUAAUUUUUAAAAUAGCCAUGGAGUAGUCUUUGUGUCCAUGAACAGCUGGUUAUCAAUAUAUAGUUUAUCGAUGACGAGAGUUACUCAAUUCCCUUUUAAUCUAUUUUCCUUGAAAAUUGGAUACAGAACUUUAAGCCGUUCUGCAAUUUCCUUCAGGAACUGGUCAUUCAUGCCAAUUUUGGUCGCAGCAAGUCUUUUACCCAGGCUUUUAACCAUUAUUUUAUCUUUAAAGGAAGCAAAUUUGGCAACGAUUGGGCGUUUAUACCUCUGCCCUCUCUGUCCGAAGUAGUGUAAACGUUUGAGUUGGAUGUUGUCGAUAGCUUUACGUGGAAUCUGAAGCGCUGUAAGGAGGAACUCUCUAACUACAGAUUCAGGAACUUCCCCUUCUUUCCCUUGGAUACCUGUAAGUACCAGAUUCUCUCUCAUGGAUCUAGUCUAUGUCAAGUAAGGCUUCUCUCAGAACGGUGUUCUCCUUUUUAAGUUCAUUAACUUCGUUUCAAUCUUAUUGACUGUCCCUUUUAGCUUGUUUGUUUCCUUCUCCAAUGUCGCAGCUUUUUCAUCACUCAUCUCAAGGUUUGCCUUCAACUCUUUAAUAUCCUUACUGACUAGUUCAAGUAUGCCCAGUUUGUCCUUUAUUGGUUUUGACCUUUGCCAUUCCCAGUGGUGAAAAUAUUCAAUUGUCUGUAGAAGUCACGUUUUAGUUUUGAAAUAGGUUCCCCUGUCUUACGCUCCGUCAUGUUUGGGCGUUGCUUGUUUUCGUAAUAUUUGCUGAUAAAUUUCUCUAGUCUUAUGAUUUGUUUUGUGUUGUUAUCCAGAUUGAAGGUUAUUACCCACCAGAUUGUGUAGUGCUAAUAUUUAGUCUAACUUUCCGAUAUUAAAUAUUGCAUUUUUAUCUUGAGGUGGUCUACAUAGCUGUAUUCAGUCCGUAUAAUAUCUGAAUCUGUAGCUAGAUUCUUACCUGUAUACAUGGAUGAAAGAUUCACGUUGGGUUCAUUGUUAGUUAGCAAGCCAGACAUCAAACUCCAGGUGGCUAGCUAACAGCAAGCUUUAGCUUGCAAUGAAAACACCUUUCGGACAAAAUUAGAAACGUAUAAUAUCUGAAUCUGUAGCUAGAUUCUUACCUGUAUACAUAGAUGAAAGCUUCAUGGCAGACUGCAAUCCCUUUUAUAAGACAUCCUGUGUUGUUUCCGUUUAGUUUGCACAGCUUGUUAGGCCCGUUGUGUUCCACUGAUUUCAAAACGUGUUAUGAAAUGAGAGUCAGCAUAGCAUGGCACAAUUGUCGUCCAGAAAGUUGUCCAUCACAACUUUUUCCCACUGACCUUUGUCGAUAGCGUCUGAUAAAUUCAGGGCAGCAAUGUUAUUGAGAGCAGUAGCAACAUAUUUGCAGUUCUCCCUGACUAACAUAUCUUUAAAAAAGAAACUACAGUACGAGCAGCUCAUUUUAUAGACACAAAAUGCAACACCGACCAAUCCAAACUCAUCUCUCUGCAUUUGCAGCCCACUCAUUUUCUCAGUGAAUCAUGGCUAGCGGGAAGGUUGCCCCUUUUUCUGUGGCUAACCCAACUAGGCUCAUAAUUUAACAAUUUUAUUCGUAUUUACAGAUGACAUACAAGUCUGAUAUUGCUACACAUGAAAGUUACCAAGGUAACCUGCCUAAAUGAGUACCGACCCGUAGCACUCACGUCUGUACCCAUGAACUGCUUUGAAAGGCUGGUCAUGGCUCACAUCAACACCAUUAUCCCAGAAACUCUAGAUCCACUCCGAUUUGCAUACCGCACCAACAGAUCCACAGAUGAUGUAAUCUCUUUUGCACUCCCCACUACCCUUUCCUACCUGGACAAAAGGAACACCUACGUGAGAAUGCUAAUUAAUUGACUACAGCUCAGCAUUCAACACCAUAGUAUCCUUAAAACUCAUCCAUAAGCUAAGGACCCUGGGACUAAACACCUCCCUCUGCAACUAGAUCCUGGACUUACUAACGAGCCGCCCCCAUUGAGAGUUAGAAUUGUAGAAUAUACAUGGUGCAAUUUCUUAAAUUUGGUUGUGCAUCAGCAGUUUUUAUCUUUUGUCAGUCACUGACAUUCACUCAAUUUGCCAUGUCAACUAACAACUUUUAGAUUGGUAAAUUAGUCUAGCCAGCUAUCUAAACUUGUAGUAAUUAUGGCCGUAUACCGACCGGGCACACAGGGCAUGUGCCCAGGGGCUCUGACCUCCUGGGGGGGCAUUAAAAUGUUUUACCAGCAAUUUGGGGUAUUAUCAACAAUAUCAUACAAACACCAUACCCUCAAUUUAUUUCAUCCAUUUAUUUAUUAGGAUUAUGGCAUCAUUUACCUUUUACAGUAUAAUAGUCAAUUCUGCAGUAUUGUAAUGCGAGUCAUUACACAGUGCUUGCUUUGAGUGUAUUUAGAUUACAAUAGGUGUACUGCAAUAUGAAAUACAGUAACUUACUUACUAAUGAGCCUCCUGGAAAUGACUGUCAAAUUCACGGCAACCCCUUUACAGUGUGUGUAUGUGAAACUAGAGGAAGGGUCAUGAACUUGCUGACUGUGGCUCUGAAGAACCAGAAUGGCUCCCUGGCCUGUUAUGAAGCAGAGAAGGAAAAACAGGAACUGUAGCAUGAUUGAAAGAUCUGAGGUCUCCAUCUGCUUCCCUCGUUCUCAGGUGAUUUUUACUGUGCCUUCUUUCUCUCUGUCUCCUCUCUCUUUAUUAAUCUCUCUCAACCUCUCUCUCCCUCUCCUCCCUUCAGCACAAGUCUACUGAGGCUCAUCAAAUACAGUGUGUGUAAUGCUCAGCGCUAUAAACCAUGAAAUAAAAAAACAUUGUCUCCUCUUUCCACACAGGGCUUAUAAAACCAUAGAAGAUGGACCUGAGGUUCCCCCUGUCUAUGGCGAAGGGAAAACGGUUAUUUUUGUGUGUGUCUCAUGCAUGAGAGGGAGUUUGUGUGCGUGUCUGUUUGAAUGUGGAUAUGAACAGAAUUUAUAACAGACUUAUAAAAGAGUUAUUACAUAGGAAAAACUGAUUUUAUAUCUUAGUUUAAUAGUAUACUAACUGAUGUCUUUACGACUCUUCGUCAGGCCAGGGUGAUGGCCACCAUAUGAGCAACCAGAGGCCUUGGUGACCACAAUCUUAAAGUCCACGACACCAACAUCAAGCCUUUCCUGUCCUGCUGUCCAGAGGUGAAGGUGUACAAUAGGGUUCCACAACUGGUACACAAUGGCUGCUCAGGAUCUAGUGAUGAGAGCGAAGGGAGUACUGAAGGACCGCGGCUGGCGGAUCACUAACGAACGUCUAGAAU